CACGGGGGGAGCAAGCGUUGUUCGGAAUCACUGGGCGUAAAGGGCGUGUAGGCGGUUCGGUAAGUGGAAUGUGAAAUCCCUCGGCUCACCCGAGGACCUGCAUCCCAAACUGCCGAGCUUGAGUAUGGGAGAGGAUGAGGGAAUUCCUGGUGUAGCGGUGAAAUGCGCAGAUAUCAGGAAGAACACCCGUGGCUAAGGCGGUUCUCUAGUACGGUACUGACGCUGAGACGCGAAAGCGUGGGGAGCGAACAGG
rnacentral:rRNA from 1 species